GAUAAACGCUGGCGGCGUGCUUAACACAUGCAAGUCGAACGAAGUUUUUCCUUCGGGAGAAACUUAGUGGCGGACGGGUGAGUAACGCGUGGGUAACCUGCCCUGUACAGGGGGACAACAGCUGGAAACGGCUGCUAAUACCGCAUAAGCACUUAGCAUUGCAUGGUGCAUAGGGAAAAGGAGCAAUCCGGUACAGGAUGGACCCGCGUCUGAUUAGCCAGUUGGCAGGGUAACGGCCUACCAAAGCGACGAUCAGUAGCCGAUCUGAGAGGAUGUACGGCCACAUUGGGAAUGAGACACGGCCCAGACUCCUACGGGAAGCGGCAGUGGUGAAUAUUGCACAAUGGAGGGAACUCUGAUGCAGCGGCGCCGCGUGAGUGAAGAAGUAUUUCGGUAUGUAAAGCUCUAUCAGCAGGGAAGAAAAUGACGGUACCUGACUAAGAAGCACCGGCUAAAUACGUG
rnacentral:rRNA from 1 species